GCCAGUACUUGGGUCUUGGUGUGGGGUGUGGGCCAGUUGGCUACAGCUUCCACCUUAGCGGGUUCUGGUCGUUGUUUCCCACACCCUACCCUGUGUCCCAAGUACUGUACUUCGGCCAUUCCGAAAUUACAUUUCUCUGGUUUCAGAGUUAGGCCUGCGGCCCUAAUCUGAUCCAGCACAGCCUCUACAUGUCUUAAGUGCUCUCCCCAAGUCUCACUAUAGAUCGCAAUGUCAUCCAGGUAUGCGCACGCGAAUUCCUGGAAGCCAUCAAGGAGACGAUCC